UGGCUACUAAUUACAUUUGAUUUAUUAGAAUGUUUUUCUCUAUAAUACAUUACAUCAGUUCCCUACAAACACACCCAUCAUGAACCUACUACUAUAGGAAAAGACCAGAAUGUAAUAUUGCUAUCAGUCUAUAUUAUAAUACAGAAAUAUACAGUACAUUCUGUACUGUACCAUACUUGGUAAGGUGAUACAGUAUUUAAAAAUACAAUGAAGCCUAGUCUUAGCAAAUCACAGCAUGGUUUUAAUAUCAAGUUUCUUUUAAACUUAUAAUUAUGAUACCACUUUUUGUGAUAUGGAAAGCCAAUCUGUCAUAGACUGGCUCCACUGUAUCAAAUAUUGAUUCCAUAUUAAUAAUCACUACUCCAUCUAGAGUAUAAUUUUCACCCUGCUUAUUGAUGUGAGCAUCACAGUCAACUGCAAACUGUCUAAUAAAUGUCAUAUAAAUAUCCUGUUGAGCUAAAAUGUAAAUAAAUACAUACAGUGGAAAAGGGGGGAGUAAUAAUUAAUAUACUAAAGUGUGUCACUAAGUUUCACUGCUAAGGCAUUUAUAUAAAAGAAGAAACCAACAGGUAUCACAAACAAAUGAGUUUACCAGUCAGAGGUUGCACCAUGUGAAACACAGUGAACAUGCUUAUAAACCAAGGUAUGAAAUAUAAAUUGUACAGUAAUGGAAAUGGAUAGAAUUGUAUGUUGGUAUCAUUAAUGAACUUCCAUCCAAAAUGUAAUAAGCCUUCAUACUUACUCCUUCAUGUUACUAGAAGUCCUAAAAUGUCAUCACAAAAUAAGUUUCAUGUAUGCAUUACCUGGAUUCUAACAUGUGAUAUGGGUUAUCUGAAUUACAGAUUGAAAAAAAAUUAGAAGAAAAUAUAUCACAGUGUUUAAAUGGAAUUCUCUAGAAAGCCACAAAGCCUUUUCCUACUAAGAUACCUAUUUUGACACAAUUUAUUGAUAUACACCUGUCACACUUAUGGACUGAUAAUAGAACUAUUACACAUUGCUGGUAUUUUUAAUUUCUAUGGUAUGUUCCAGUUCUGUGGAACCGAUAUCCUGUGGAUGGUCACUACACUAAUUAUAAACAUAACGGCCAAUUUUGCAGUGCUUUAAUUCAUAAUGUUGCAUGGGUAGGGUUAGAAGCAAUGUGUCAAGCAAUACUGCCCCCUUCUUCUGAAAAGAAAUAGACCUUGGUUGGCUGAGAUACUGCACAAACUAUGCAAGGAUAAAAUUAGGUGGAACUAGAAAACUGAACUCAGUCUGCGCUUA